UGAGAAUUUGAUCCUGGUUCAGGAUGAACGCUGGCGGUGUGCCUUAAGCAUGCAAGUCGAACGGUAUAUUGUUGGACUUUGGAUGACUCAACGGCACGAUCGCUCUUUUAUAGAGUAAUUUGUGUUGUUGAUUCCAAAGUCCAAUGAUGUGCAGUGGCAGACGGGUGAGUAAUACGUAGGAACCUACCUCUUUGUGGGGGACAGCUCGCCGAAAGGCGGGGUAAUACCGCAUGUGAUCGCAAGAUCAAAGCCGUAAGGCGCGAAGAGAGGGGCCUGCGUCCCAUCAGCUAGUUGGCGGGGUAAACGCCCACCAAGGCAACGACGGGUAGCCGGUGUGAGAGCAUGGCCGGCCACAAGGUCACUGAGACACGGGACCUACACCUACGGGUGGCAGCAACUGGGAAUCUUGCGCAAUGGACGAAAGUCUGACGCAGCGACACCGCGUGUGGGAAGAAGGCCUUCGGGUUGUAAACCACUGUGGCGAGGGAACAAAAAAAUGAGGGUACCUCGCUAGAAAGCACCUGCUAACUACGUGCCAGAAGCCUCGGUAAUACGUAGGGUGCAAGCGUUAUCCGGAUUUACUGGGCGUAAAGCGUCUCGAAGGUGGACGCGCGCGUGGCGGGUUUAAGCCCGGAGCUCAACUCCGGACCAGCUCGUCAUACGGCGUGUCUCGAGUCUGUUAGGGGGAAUCAGAAUUCUCGGUGUAGGGGUGAAAUCCGUAGAUAUCGAGAGGAAUGCCAAAAGCGAAGGCAGGUUCCUGGGACAGUACUGACACUCUAGGACGAAAGCCAGGGUAGCAAAAGGGAUUAGAGACCCCUGUAGUCCUGGCCCUAAACGAUGCUCGCUAGAUGGUUCACUUCGGUGGGCUGUCGUAAGCUAACGCGUUAAGCGAGCCGCCUGGGGAGUACGGCCGCAAGGCUAAAACUCAAAGGAAUUGGCGGGGGAGCGCACAACCAGUGGAGCAUGUGGUUUAAUUCGAGACGAAGCGAAGACCUUACCUAGACUUGACAUGUACCUGCAAGCUGUGGAAACACAGUCGCCUUUGAGGGUGGUACACAGGUGAUGCAUGGUUAUGCAUUUGUGCGAAAGCACAGACGAUGACCCCUUACACAGUAAUGUGUAAGUGACAACUAAGCUCAUAACGGUGAACCCUAGCGUAAAAUGUGUUAUGUAUUACAUAUGGCACAUCGAAUGUUUGGCAACCCCGUGGGAAGCUCAAGGCAAAAAGUUUUUCCUUUGUUGAAUAUUGAUUCAUAUAUUCUUGGUUUGUGGAGUGCAGAUGGAUAUUUACGAUCAAGCAGUUUUGGACUGACAUCGAUUUAUCCCAUUUUAAUUGAUAGAUUUCGAGCUUUUUUACGACUUUAUUUUGAUAAUUCCCGAAUAAAGGUGCGAAAGUACCUUCCAAUGAAGGAUUUUUAUCAAUAUGAUUUUGCGAAAAAUCCAAAAGUUUAUCUUUUAAAAAAAGCAAAGCAUCCCGCAUAUCAGAUAUAUGUGAAUUGUAGGCCGUUUAUUCGCGCAUUCUUUAAUGAAGAUUUGCAAAAGAGGAGUGUAUUGCAAAAUACACAAGCCUAUUUUGCAGGUCGAUUUGAUGGUGAUGGAAGUGUGUCUAAAAAUUUGAAAAACGAUUUUCGGAUCGCAUAUACAACAUUUGAAGAUGCACAACGAGAUCAAAAAUAUGUAAAUAUUUUAUCUUCCACUAUUACUUCAUCAAUUUAUCAUUACGAACACGCGAAGACGUUUGUUUUGUAUAUUCAUACAGACGCAUCUCAUGAAUUCUUGAGAUUAAUAGAGCCGUAUUCAGCAAAAGCGCAAAAGCUUCUUGUAGCCCCGUAGAGACUGAUCCGCAAACGCGGUGAGAUACAUUUCGUAUCAUACGCUUAGCCCCUUUGAAAUAAGGGUGAUGGUAUAGUCCGUCUAUCAGGAAACUGAAUAGAUUAUCGGUCGUCAGCUCGUGGCGUGAGUCGUCUGCUUCAGUGCAGCAACGAGCGCAACCCCUGUCGCGUGUUAUAUUUCACGCGAGACUGCCGGUCACCAAGAUCGGAGGAAGGAGGGGACGACGUCAAAUCAGCACGUCCCUUACGUCUAGGGCCACACACAUCCUACAAUGGCGAGUACAACGGGUCGCGACGGGGUAACCCCGAGCUAAUCCUUAUAAAACUUGCCUCAGUUCAGAUUGAGGGCUGAAACUCGCCCCCAUGAAGUCGGAAUUGGUAGUAAUCGCAAAUCAGAAGAUUGCGGUGAAUACGUUCUCGCUCCUUGCACAACGUAAAUAUGCGCCUUCCGUUUAUAUCAUUAAGCCGGUGUAAAUCCGGUUAGUCACAACAAGAUGACUAAAGCGAAAUUACAGACCUCUCUUGGUAACAAGCAGGUUGAAGGGUGAAAGUAGCAGAAUUUAGCUUGAAGUUUUACAGGCAUAUAUGUAUCACGACCCCACGUGCAGCGGGGGAAGUUCUUGUUGAUAUAUACAUAUAUGUAUUUGAGCUCGAGAUAGAUUCAAAUCGAUGAUAUAGAUACGAAGGGAGAUCCAUUUUGAUCUCUAUUGAAAUAUUCUACUUUGAGUAGAAAUAGAAUAUGAUAUGUAGAGUAUGAAUCGAGUGAUUGGUUCAAAAAUCAAUGUGGAAGUCUGCAAGCGUCGUAGUACCGAGAGAUCGGGAAGGACGCACUUGAUAUGAUACUUCCGGGAGAUUAUGUUUCUGGAUUUAUUGAUGGAGAAGGAUGUUUUACAAUAUCCAUCUCAAAACAUCGAACGAAAAAAUUAGGAAUAGAUGCUCGCAUUUAUUUCGAAAUUGAACUUCGGGAUGAUGAUAGAGAUAUUCUUCAAUCAAUUCGUGAAACAAUCGGCUGUGGUAGAAUCUAUACACUUUCUUACGAAAGAUAUGGAUGGCAUCCACAUGUUGAGUUAAAAAUAUCUUCUAUGGAAGAGAUUACACAAAAGUUAGUUCCUUUUCUUUCGAAAUAUCCAUUACGAGCUAAGAAGCGGUUUUCAUAUGCCUGCUUUUUAGAGGCGAUUGAGAUAUUUAAAAAGAAAGAACAUCUUUCUUUAUCAGGAAUUGAUAAAUUAAGAGAGAUUAGGAAACGAAUGAAUGUGUAUUCCAAAAAAUCAAGCGUCGGCUAGGGUACGGGAAAACCGUGUGCCCAGUCGGGAGAGAAGUAUGUUCAGUGAUGACAUAACUAUCUCAGAACACUGCCCGUCAAAUGAGUGGAGUUGGCAACGCCCGAAGCGGAUGACCCUAACGCGCAAGCGAGGGGCGCCACUACGGCGAGGUCAAUGACAAGCGUUAAGUCGUAACAAGGUAUCCCUACUGGAAGGUGGGGAUGGAUCACCUCCUU
rnacentral:rRNA from 2 species